ensembl:lncRNA
UCAGCUGUGGACGUCGCUCAGCCUCGCUGUUCAGCUGUGGACGUCGCUCAGCCUCGCUGUUCAGCUGUGGACGUCGCUCAGCCUCGCUGUUCAGCUGUGGACGUCGCUCAGCCUUCCUGCUCCAUGGCAGAUAGCGUUCCCCUCUUCUGCUUCGAGGAGACCCACGCUCCUCUCCCUGGCCGCACGGAGACCCACGCUCCUCUCCAUGGCCUUACAGGGGACUUCGCUCUGCCUUCAUGCUCCGAUGAGGGCGUCGCCCUGCUUCCCUGCUCCGCCGAGUACAGUGCUCUGUUUCCAUGCCCAGCUGAGGUCGUCGCUCUGCCCCCCUGUCCAGCUGAGGUCGUCGCUCUGCCCCCCUGUCCAGCUGAGGUCGUCGCUCUGCCCCCCUGUCCAGCUGAGGUCGUCGCUCUGCCCCCCUGUCCAGCUGAGGUCGUCGCUCUGCUUCCCUACGCCGCCAAGAACACCGUGCAGUUUCCUGGCUCUGCUCGGGACAUUCAGACCAGGGGGCCGGGGCCGCCAAUGAAAUGGGAUGACUCAUGGCAUUCCGGGAGGAGUGCCCUUGGGGGGCGGGGGGUUCUGUCACGAUUCCCCCUUGAAGCAGUGUGCUCUAAGCGCAAAUGCGUGAUCACCUGCUUUUCCGCUGUUGACUGUAGUGACAUUGGGACACGUGUGUUUUGUUUAUGUUUGUCAUGUCUCCUCCCUGUUCCGUCAUUGGCUGGGAAUUCACGUGGGUCUGUAUUGCUCCCAGCUGAUAGCAAUUAACACGCUAAUCAGGUCCGCAUAUAUAUCGCGCGCUUCCCAGCACACAACGCGGAAGAUUAAGUAAUAAGUCGUAAGUAGUAAGUAAGAAAUCGUAAAUAGUAAGUAAGUGUUUAGCGUUAGUUUAGUUCGCGCCAUAGCCAUAGCCAUAGCCAUAAGCAAGUUCGCGCUGGAUUAUCCGCUUCCAGUCCCUCGCCUUAGUUCGUGUCUUGUUUUGUUUACCGACCUAGAUUCCUGCCUUGCCCCGUGUAUGCCUGUUUGCCAAUCGCCUGACCUCUUGCAUGUUUAUGGAUUACGUUUUGGAUCACGUUUAGGAUUUGUCUGCCUGCCUGUCUCUUUAAAUAAACAACUGUUAUCCUGCACUUGCAUCCGCCUUAUCUCUGCUUCGUCACGAUGUGUGACACACAACUAAUGUAUAUGAAAGUAUAGGUCUUCUCAUUCUAAUCAUAUUUGCAUAAAGAACCAUUGGUGUCUGUCAAACUGUAAGGUAAAUAUUUCAGAUAAUGUUAAAAACUUACUUUUCCGAACUAGUCAUGGUUUUUUUGCUCAAGUGAAAUAAAACUAUUGCAGGACAAUACUUUGGACAUCUUAGAUCAAAAAAAAGGUUGAAUUUUUGAUUUACCCUUGCAAGGGCACAUCAAAAAGUUUGAAGUGGGUGUGGCCGCUUUAACUUAAAUUCUCCUGAAAGGAAUGAGAUAUUUUCACUAAACUUGGGGUACAUAUGUACAGGCUCAAUUUGAGGACAGAUGUAAAAAACAUGACUUGGUGUGACCAUUUGGUGGCACUAUGGCAGAACAAAAUAUGAAACUGGCAGUAAAAGUGGAACCAUUGGUCCUAUAGACUUGAUAAAUCUUACAAGAAUUGUACUCUUCCAAGGUCCAAUCAGCGUAUUCGAGGACAAUUGUGAAACUUGAAAAACAGGGCCACUAUUGGUCGAGCAAUGUUCAGCAGCUAUUGGACAAGCUUAAUGAAGGCCAAUAUUUCUUAAAAUUAUAUUUCUUAUAAUUAUUCUUAAAAUAGAAAUCUUGCCUAGGGCGCCAAAAUGGCCAGAAAUGGCCCUGCUUUUAGGCAUCGAUCAAAUCAAAUCGAUAUCAAGUAAAGCUGCAUGUUGCUACGCUAAUUUCAGCCUGAAUCUUUUUAGCUUAGUCAUGUAAGCUAUGCCUUGUUCAUCAAGUUGUGAUGUCAUUUGCACAUCAUUUUCUCUUAUCUGAUCAUAUUUUAUGUUAUCAUAUUUAAUCUUCUCUACAAUAUGAAUUUGUUUUUAUUACUGCAUCUUUUCUUAGUGUAUUAUUCCCUUCAUAUGCUCUAUGUUUCUGUCAUUGUAAUUAUAUAUAUUUUAUUUUAUUACAUUUAUAUUAUUUUCCUUUUGUUUAUGAUAUAGAAAUUAUUUUGGAAAUAAAACGACAGGACUAGCAUCUGAAACCUUAAUUACCUUUAUUUUUCCAGGGAACCAGAUGUUUUCUGCACUGAAUGGGCUUUAUGAACUGUUCAAUGUCUUGCUCUCUCACAUACUCCUACUACUCUUUGCUGUACUUCUUAAACCAUAUGGCCUAGCGACUCUAGAGGGAUACUAGGAAAUGUAGAGAGGAUGCCCUCUCUGAUCAGACCAUUAGGUUCCAACAUGCUAUAGACAUGGAAAAGAGUGGUGGAGUGAGAUCACUGACAAGCCAAGCAUAUUAUACUCUGGCAGAGGAAAGUAGUCUAGUAGCCUUGUAUGAUCAACAAGUUGGACAAAUCCUUCAUCAUAUUUCUCCAGGAAAACACAUACGUUCUUUAACACUAACUUCAUGUGCUGCAAGAGUGUUGCUUAGCUGAAAGCUAAGAGGUGCAGCUGAUUCUUGUAUCUUAUCACUGUAGUACUGUACAAAAAAUCUGUGCCUCUUUCAAUGGCAACAUAUGUUGGGAGGAUAUAACAGCACUAAGGUAAGCUGGUAGAAGCUGAUGCCUUGCCUUUCAGCAAGAGUGGAGCAGAGGUUCUUGAAGUUGUGCAGUUUGUGAGCAGAGUGUUUGAAAUAUGUAUGCUUAGUCUCAAACUGUAGAGGCCAUUUAUAACGUCCAAAGUGAAUGGUUAGGUCUGUGUAACAAGACAAAUAAUUGUGUUUUGGUUUAAGUGGCGAAUCUGGAAAAGUUUCCUUUCUGCUUAGUCAGUACUCCUCUAUCAAAACUUUCAAGUAUGCUACUUGACCAGUGGCAAUCUUUAGAGCACAAAUCAUCUCGACUAUUUGUCUGAGUUGCAGGGCCAGUUGCCAGACAUAAGUGUCCACUGGGUUAUGAAUCUUGUCCCCAAUCAAGACUCUCAGUAGACACAAUUCUGCACAGCAUGCCUACUUAGUUUCUCACUUCCAGGAUUUACAUCACUUGGUUUGUUGUUAGCAUUGUAGCCAAGCUGAUUUAUAUGACUGUUACACGACUAGAUCUACAUAACUGACCUUCUUUUGCUUUGUAAUAAGAUGGCUGAUAUACAGGAACAGAUCACACAUGACAACACCUUCAAACAAUUCAUGGCCUAAACAAGGAGGCAGUCCAGUUUGGCAUACAUGGAAGUAAGAAAAAAGAAAAAUCUUUGAUUUUGAAUCAAAUUUGAUGCCUGCAGAUGACCGUUUCUCAUUCACCUAUUCACACACGAAUGAUGGCAGAGCUGCCAUGCAAGGUGCUAGCUUGCCAUUGGUAGCAACUUGGGGCCCAGCCCCCCUCCGUACCGAUUACAUUGGACUAUUCCAUAAUUUUACUGCGCAUCUGCGAAAGUAACUCCGGAUGAAAGUAUAGCCAACUCGUGCAAAUGUUGACGUUGCAGGUAGUGUACAGACAGAGCAAAAAUUAAGCGCAGCUACCACAGCGGUGCUGAAAAAGGAGAAAGCGGGAGGAAAGCAAAAAAUUUUUUAGCAAAGUCUGUGAAGUGUUUAAAUGAACACAUUUUGCCUUUGGCAUGAAGGCAAGUUGUAGUUCUGUAAGCGCUGACGGCUCUAGCAUUACAGCCAAAGAAAAGUGAGGCUGGGACAGGCAGCAGAGUUUAUCCUCUCUCUCUCUCUCUUCCAUAUUCCCUCCUAAAGCUCUCCUGACCUGCUCCCAAAUGAAGCAGUCGGUGAGUUUAAUGUCACAUGAUAACAGUGGGACAUUCAGAUGUGGAUUCAUGUUCAGUGCUACUUCAAAUAAAUGUUUACAUAUUACCACAAUUUAGAAAAAAUUUAUUGUAUUGUUUGCUCUUGGUUGGUGGUAGUAUUGAAAUUAUUAUUAAUUAAUACUUAUUUAAUAUAGGACUAAUAUCAAGAUUAAUUCCAUAAUGUUCAUAUUAGAAAAUUAAACUUCUUAAUAUUAAUAAACUAGUAGUCAAUAGUAGCGGCCUAUAUUUGGGUGGUAAAAUUAUUAGAUGUGGAUUCAUGUUAAUGCUAAAAAAAUAAAGUUUCAGCACCAAUUUUGUAUUACUGUAAUUACGAAUUUCAGCGGAAAAUUCAAAAAGGAAAACCUGUUGACAUCUUUGUCGAAUUUGUAGUUAUAAGUUGAAAAAUUGGAAGGCACUGAAAGCUACCACAGUAGUAGUAGUAGUAUUUGUCUACACUCCUGGGCAAAAAAAAUGGGCCAAACCCAAAAUGGCAAAAAUAUUAAGCUUUUAAUGGUCUUAACAACAAAUCAGAGGUUUACAAAAUAUACCUUUCGCAACCUUAAGGUGCAAAUGUGAAUUGGAGAGAGGACUCAAGCCUUGUUCAGCAAAAAAACUUUGGACUCUGAUAUUAAUGAAGAUGACCUUUUUAUAAAAAAAAAAAAAAAAAAAUUAUA